CCCGGAAGCAUGCCAGAGCUUUCCUCUCACCUCUCGCCGCAAAAUACCCAUAGGAAGACCCUCUCCACCGAGCUCAGAGAACCGCCACCGCAGCUCACCGACGCCAAGACACCCUAGAGCUCACUGACGCCAACGUGUGCCUAAAAUGAGUUUGGCCGAGUGCCCUCUUUGAGUUCCACCACUCGCCGGAGAAAAUGGGCCAUGGCAGUGUGAUUCCAGCGGGUCAUCGACCAAGCGCCGCCGCGCCACCUCGUCGCCGUCGCCAACCCGAGCAGGAGCCAAGGUAGGGUUGAGCAUCACCGAGAGUGGAAGAAAUCAUGCCUCUCAUUUCAAUUCAAAUGAUGCUGAGCAGCGAGAAGAAAAUCUUUUGAUCAGGAGAAUCAAUUAAAAAGAUUAAAACUUCAUGAGAUAUAUGUUUGAUUCCUACUUGAGUCAUUAAUGUGACCAAAUGUAGAUGUCCACUCAGUCAAAAAGAUAAAGGUAAGAUAUAAAAAAGUCACACACUUAGCCAAUAUUCUGGAUUGCACUUUCUCUACUAUUAUAGUUAAGCAUGUAAACAAAACACUACGGGACUUUAUCAGGUUGAAAAAGAUGUCUCAUGAUGUGGAAAUAUAUUUGGUUCAAGUAAUCAUUCUAGAUAGCAGCACCUUUUUGGUUCCACGGGCUAUAAUUUUAGUUUGUAAAGCAGUGAAAAAGCCUGCAAUAGAAUAUCGCUAUGAUAUAUGUCAUCUUUGGAGUGAUAUGAUAUCAUAAUAGUAGAAUAUGCAUUUAAAACAAUAGAAUACCAUUGUACUAGUACAACUUAUGCAAGUAGUGGCACACUCAUAUGGGUCAGCGAGGAGGAGACAGGGGUUGAUGCCAAAGGCCUUGUUGAUCUACUACACAAUGAUUUGCAACUUGGCGAUGGGCCUGCCAUUGUGGAUGAGCACACACUACUAUAAAAUACACCUAUCACUAUCAGUUCAUAAUUGGCAUUACACUACCGGUUGUUGAACCUGCACUGUGAACUCAGCACUGCAUGCUUACUAAAAAACCCCUAUCAGUUCCGGUUUAUAAUUGACAUUACAUUGUCGGUUUUUGAGCUGGCACUGCGAACUCAGUAGUGAUAGUCACUAACUAUCACCGCUGGUUCAAAAACCAAUAGUGAUAUCCUUUAUCACUGCCAGUUUAUAACACUAAUUGGUAGUUAUAGUCAGUGCAUGAACUGAGUUUUUCGAGGCAAAAAAACCCCAUGGAGACUACCCUCCUAUGCUAUGUACGCGACCGCCCAAUGAAAUUGUUUCUAGGGUCUGUGCGGCGGGACCUGGGGUUUUGCGAAGUGAGCAGGGAGGUGCUCUGCCAUGGUGACCAUAUGCGACAAUAGGGGGGGCACAAUGGAGGUUGUGUGUGCAUGACGUUGAAGACACGUGCAAUGGCUCGGCUAAAACAGGUAUUAAUUCCCAUCCAAAUAUCUACUUCAAUUCAUGAACUAGGGUUUCAGAUAAAUUGGGGAAAAACUCAGUUCGACUGAAUGCUAGGGUUUGAUCUUGUAUAAUGCCUCUUCUACCUUAAUCUAGGCUGAAUUGGAGUAAACUAAUAGCAAUUAACAACUAAAAUGAAGAACCGGUCAAAAGUUCCUUAAACAAACUAGGGUUCCGGCCAUCUGGGGUAAGAACCGAGGGGGUUUCUAUCUAAUUGCACAUGAUUCAUGAAAUUAAAUAAAACCUAAGGUUCUUAAUAGCAAAUAUUAGUAUUAAAACUCAACUGAGGUAUAGGAUCAUCACUAAUCACAUGAGUACAACGCUUAACUAAUGCAAAAUUAUGGAUUAGAACCUGAAUUUGAUGAAGCCAUCCCCUCGGUCGAUGAAGAUGCCUAUAUCAUGGUCCUAGGAAGCGCCAAGUAGAGAUGACAAUUAUACCUGAUUACUUGUUUACCUGUGGGUAAAUACCAUAAUGAAGUUGAGUAUGUUCCAUAUUUGCUGCCUGCGAGCAAGUUUGUGGACGAAAAACACUACCCAACAGGUAUACGAGCACGGGAAAGCCUUACUGUUUACCCAUCGAUACCUAUGGCAGCUGAGCCCAAUCCGUAAGUCCCAAGAGUCCAAGAUCCCAAUUCCACAUCAACCUAAUCCCUAAUUUGCCUAAUCCCCAAUAGUUCAACGCCGCCACCCCCUACGCCCCUACCUGCCCAGCGCCAACAUCAAAUCUCCGUCACCCAGCCCCAAAUCCCUACUGCCGAGCGCUGCACCAGCACCUCCUCUGCCUGCCUAUGUUAGUGCACCCCGAAUCCCCGCCGCCGGGUGCCGCAUCGCCUUUCGAGUGGGAACAACUCCAGCUUCUAGACCACCAACUUGGGCGGCCCUAAUGGGCACACAGCUGCGAUGCUCGAAUUUGCUCGAUCUUUCAUGGUACUAAACAAUAAUACUAAGUCUUCUUUGAAAUUUAAUCGAUCGAAGAACUUGUAAUUAGUGUUGUCCUCCUUUUGAUAUCAUAAGUAAGCUUGUGCUGGAGUAUCAAUAGUAACAGAGACAACCGCAGUAAAUAAUUGUGAUCUCGACAGUGAAUUUAUGAGUUGCAAGUUACUAGUUCAGUAGCUAACGGAGAGCAGUAGGACAAUUGUAUUUUCCUGGCGUGAUUAGUAAUACGUAAUUAUGAUCAAAUAGCAGCGCAAAAAUCUCUUGACAAGCAACCGCAAUAUCACAAGUAGUACCAAACUGAUAAUAAAUAAAGUAGUACCAAACUUCUGACGGCAGGUGAUACAAGUAAGAUAAUAGAUCAAACCUACUUUGCCACUAGCCGGAACAAAUCCUUGUGCAGAAUUAAAAGAGUAUAAAUUUACAAGGGACUUGCAAACCAGACAGAAUUGACUUGCAAACCAGACAGAAUUGACUUGCAAACAAGACAGAAUUGACUUGCAAACCAGAGGGAACAGCAUGCCAAGCCCUAAAAAUACUUCCACUCGCGGUCACGAUGAACCAUGAUCAGAAGAUGGGGGUUCCACAGGAACCGAGCAGCGUACCCAGGAACAAUACUUGAUCAUGCACUUCAAGCACCAACACCAGGAUUAGCAGCAAAAUCAGUAGAUAAUAGCAGAUGGAUCGCCAUUAUCUGUGUUUGGAGGAACACCCUCGACAAAACAAUGUAAAAAACUAAUCUCCCCUACAAGAGGCGGUGCCCAGGCUUUUAUUUAGCAUGCAAGCCAUCUAAACCAUGACUCGGACUCAAACUCUGACUCAUAUGUCCACGUAUGCACCCUACAGACCCAGCCAGGACUUGUACUAGACCAGCAUACCUUAUCGGACUAAACAAGAUAAUAAACCGAUCCUGACUCAGCCAAAACAAUGAGACGGACUAAAACUACAGCCCACCUAUAACACACGCAUACAAAUAUUAAAGUAAUGCGUCUAGAUUACUAAUCACGAGUCUAACUC